rnacentral:rRNA from 1 species
CAGUCGCCGCGGGAAUACGUAGGUGGCAAGCGUUGUCCGGAAUUAUUGGGCGUAAAGGGCUCGCAGGCGGUUUCUUAAGUCUGAUGUGAAAGCCCCCGGCUCAACCGGGGAGGGUCAUUGGAAACUGGGAAACUUGAGUGCAGAAGAGGGGAGUGGAAUUCCACGUGUAGCGGUGAAAUGCGUAGAGAUGUGGAGGAACACCAGUGGCGAAGGCGACUCUCUGGUCUGUAACUGACGCUGAGGAGCGAAAGCGUGGGGAGCGAACAGGAUUAGAUACCCGCGUAGUCCCUGUCUCUUAUAC